AUUGAACGCUGGCGGCAUGCCUUACACAUGCAAGUCGAACGGUAACGCGGGGCAACCUGGCGACGAGUGGCGAACGGGUGAGUAAUAUAUCGGAACGUGCCCAGUAGUGGGGGAUAGCCCGGCGAAAGCCGGAUUAAUACCGCAUACGACCUAAGGGUGAAAGGGGGGGAUCGCAAGACCUCUCGCUAUUGGAGCGGCCGAUAUCAGAUUAGCUAGUUGGUGGGGUAAAAGCCUACCAAGGCGACGAUCUGUAGCUGGUCUGAGAGGACGACCAGCCACACUGGGACUGAGACACGGCCCAGACUCCUACGGGAGGCAGCAGUGGGGAAUUUUGGACAAUGGACGCAAGUCUGAUCCAGCCAUGCCGCGUGCGGGAAGAAGGCCUUCGGGUUGUAAACCGCUUUUGUCAGGGAAGAAAAGGUUCUGGAUAAUACCUGGGACUCAUGACGGUACCUGAAGAAUAAGCACCGGCUAACUACGUGCCAGCCGCCGCUGUAA
rnacentral:rRNA from 1 species